rnacentral:rRNA from 1 species
UACGUAGGGUGCGAGCGUUGUCCGGAAUUACUGGGCGUAAAGAGCUCGUAGGUGGUUUGUCGCGUUGUUCGUGAAAACUCACAGCUUAACUGUGGGCGUGCGGGCGAUACGGGCAGACUGGAGUACUGCAGGGGAGACUGGAAUUCCUGGUGUAGCGGUGGAAUGCGCAGAUAUCGGAAGGAACACCAGUGGCGAAAGCGGCUUCCUGGUCCAGCACCGACGUUCAGGCACGAAAGCGUGGGUAGCAAACAGG